GAUUAGAUACCGUCGUAGUCUCAACUGUAAACUAUGCCAACUUGGUAUCGGCAGUAAAUGCGAAAGCUUAAGUUUUUGGGUUCAAGGGGGAGUACAUUCGCAAGGCUGAAACUUAAAGGAACUGACGGAAUGACACCACAAGGCGCGGAGUAUGCGGCUUAAUUUGACCCAACACGGGAAACCUUACCAGGUCAGGACGUCACUUGGAUUGACAGAUUGAAAGCUCUUUCUUGAUUUGAUGGAAGGCGGUGCACGGCCGUUCUUGGUUCGUGGGGUGACUUGCCUGCUUAAUUGCGAUAACGAACGAGAUCACAACCGAUCAAUAGCUUCUUACAGGCACUGUGUACGUAUCACGGACGAUUGUGGCAAUAGCAGGUCUGUGAUGCUCUUAGAUGUUCGCGGCUGCACGCGCACCACACUGGCACAGAAAACGAGUUCCUGUUCAGAAAUGAAUGGGAAACCUUUGGAAACCUGUAUCGUGGCUAGGAUAGAUGAUUGCAAGUAUUCACCUUGAAUCCGGAAUGCGCAGUAUUCUCGCUUCAUCAGAGCGAAGAGACUGAGUCCCUGCCAUCUGUACACACCGCCCGUCGUUGCUACCGAGUGGCACAGGAAUAGAGCCGUUAGGGCGAAUCCCAUCGAUGUGCUUGUGCUCGAGGAAGCAAAAGUAGUAACAAGGUUUCCGUAGGUGAACCUGCAGAAGGAUCA
rnacentral:rRNA from 1 species